ACAGUCAAAAGAUAUUCCCGGUGCAUCCGGAAUCCACAGAGCCAGUAGGACCAUAGCCACUUCCUCAGUGUCUAAGGGCUGCUUUGUGUUUAAGCCAAACUCCAAAAAGAGAAAGAUCUCUGUGCCAAUGGAGGACUAUUUUAACAAAGGGAAAAAUGAGUCUAAGGACAGUAAGCUUCAAUUUGGAACUUAGUUGAUAUGGCAGCAAAUGAAAUCUGAAAAUGAGCCACUACAAGAAGAAUUAAAUAAAAACUUGUUUGACAAUCUAAUUGAAUUUCUGCAAAAAUCUCAUUCUGGAUUCCAGAAGAAUUCAAGAGACUUGGGCUGUCAAAUAAAACUCAGAGAAAUUCCAACUGCUGCUCUUGUUCUUGGUGUGAAUGUCACAGAUCAUGAUUUAACAUUCAGAAGUCUAACAGAGGCCCUUCAGAAUCAAGUCGCACCAUAUGUAGUCUCAUUGCAAACUAAAGACUGUCCAGAUAUGAAACAUUUUCUUUUGCAAAAGUUGAUCUCACAAUUGUUGAACUGCUGUGUAGAUAUAAAAUCCAAAGAGGGGGAAAGUGUUCAGCUCACCCAGAGAAAGAUACAUUAUUCAAUGGACUCACUUUCCAGUUGGUAUAUGACUGUCACACAGAAGACAGACCCAAAAAUGCCAAGCAAAAAGAGGACUACUUCUAGCCAAUGGCAGUGUCCUCCUGUUGUGGUUAUCUUAAAGGAUAUGGAAAGCUUUGCCACAAAAGUACUGCAAGACUUCAUAAUUAUCAACAGUCAACAUCUGCAUGAAUUUUCACUAAUAUUCAUUUUUUGAAUUGCCAUAUCUAUUAUCAUCCGCCGAUUGUUUCCUCAUGCAGUAUCAUCUCUAUUGUGCAUAGAACUGUUCCAAGUUUUGUCUUGCAAGGAGCACCUGACUAUGGUACUCAAUAAGCUACUUCUUACAACUCAGUUUCCCUUUAAAAUAAAUGAAAAAGCAUUGCAGGUUCUGACUAACAUCUUUUUGUAUCAUGAUUUUUAAAUUCAAAACUUUAUAAAAGGACCAGCUUUCUCUAUUAGAGCAUUUCUAUUCCCAGCCCUUAGGUGUCUUGUGCUGUAAUCUUCCAGAAGCCAAAAGAAGAAUAAAUUUUUUAUCAAACAAUCAAUGGGAAAACAUGAGACAUCUUCCAUCUUUUAGGAGGUACAUAGAAAAGCAAGUUGCGCUCUUGACCAAUGAGAGAUGUUUGAAGGAGGAAACACAAUUAUUACUAGAAAACCUUCAAGUGUAUCAUAGGAAUUACUUUCCGGUUUUGAGAUGUCUUCAUAAGUUCACCUCUUCUCUUCCCAAGUAUCCACAAGGUUGACAGAUCAGAGAGUUGUACCGCACAUGUUUAGAAAAGAACAUACGGAAUUCAGAGGAGUAUGCAUCAGUCUUGUAGCUGCUGAAGAUGUUGGCAAACGAUGAACUGAUGACCAUACUUGAGGAAUGUUUCAAGGUUUUUAAAUCUUCUUGUGAAAAUCACCUUGGCAGCACAGCUAAGAGAAUAGAGAAGUUCCUGGCCCAGUUUCAGAGCUUCGAUGAAACCAAAGAGGAAGAAGAUGCUUCUGGGUCAGUCAAAGGGGCUUCAGAAGACAGACCUCUAUCAUCUUCAGAAGUCUUUACUGGAAAUGAAGGAGUCAAGCAGAAGUAAGAAGCAAACCAAAUUUGAAGUACUCAGAGAAAAUAUUGUGAACUUCAUGACUGUCUAGUGAGAGAACAGCUUCUGCCUCCUGAGACACAGCCUCUCCAUGAGAUGGUCCGCUUCAGUGCUGCCCAUGCCCUUCGUGAGCAUUUAGAUGCUGCUCCGCAAAUUCUGCAACCUCAGAAGAAAUGA